GGAUGUGGGAGCGAUCUGGCUGCAACAUCUGCACCCCAUUGAUCACCAAGGUUGAUUUGGCUGAUCUGGCUGGCUGGGUGGGUGCCCCCUUCCUCCCUCACCGCUCCACGUGCAGUUGAAGAGGACAACCUUCCCCGAUACAGGCGGUACCAUUCAUCGGUCACAGGGAUACGGUAGCUGCACUCCCCUGGUAGAACCUCCAAACAAGCUCAAGGUCCCGCUUCCAUGGCAUCUCCACCUUUGCCUGUAUCUGUGCUGGGCAGGUUUGGGU
rnacentral:snRNA from 1 species